UAGCUCAGCUGGUAGAGCACCUGAUUUGUAAUCAGGGGGUCGGGGGUUCGAGUCCC
rnacentral:tRNA from 1 species